CCCGUCCCCUAUGAGAGGUCCAGCCUGCCCAGUGGAUUUACUAAACGGCCGCGGUACCCUAACCGUGCUAAGGUAGCGCAAUCACUUGUCCCCUAAAUAGGGACUUGUAUGAAUGGCACCACGAGGGUUAUCCUGUCUCCCCCCUUUAAUCAGUGAAACUGACCUCCCCGUGAAGAGGCGGGGAUAAACAUAUAAGACGAGAAGACCCCAUGGAGCUUUAAAUACACACCACCUACUCUUCUUACACCCAUCAAACCAAGUAGCCUGGCCACUGUUUUAGGUUGGGGCGACCACGGAGUAAAACUCAACCUCCGAGACGAACAAUAAUUCAAGAACAACAACUCAAAAAAUCAAAACUGACGUAAUUGACCCAAGCUCAUUUGAUCAACGAAC
rnacentral:rRNA from 1 species